CAGACGGGUGAGUAACACGUGGUCAACCUACCGCUUUGUGGGGGAUAACCAGCCGAAAGGUUGGCUAAUACCGCAUACGUCGGGGCCGGCAUCGGCCUUUGAUAAAAGGAGCAAUCCGCAAGGUGACGGGACCGCGUCCCAUUAGCUAGUUGGUGAGGUAAUGGCCCACCAAGGCUCCGAUGGGUAGCUGGUUUGAGAGAGCGACCAGCCACACUGGAACUGAGAAACGGUCCAG
rnacentral:rRNA from 1 species